GCCAGGUGCGGUGGCUCGCGCCUGUAAUCCCAGCACUUUAGGAGGCUGAGGCGGGUGGAUCACCUGAGGUCAGGAAUUCGAGACCAGCCUGGCCAACAUGGUGAAACCCCGUCUCUA
ensembl:misc_RNA Metazoa_SRP Metazoan signal recognition particle RNA